GGCAAGAUGGCCGAGCGGUCUAAGGCGCUGCACUCAAGUUUCACAGAGCUUGUUCCUGACUACAGGAAUUGCAUUGCAGUCUCGAAAGGGGCGUGGGUUCGAAUCCCACUCUUGUCA